rnacentral:rRNA from 1 species
UUCGCCCUUAGAGUUUGAUCCUGGCUCAGGAUAAACGCUGGCGGCGUGCAUAACACAUUCAAGUCGAACGGGAAUUCAAUGAUGGAAGCUUCGGCAGAAAGAGUUGAAGGAUAGUGGCGGACGGGUGAGUAACGCGUGAGCAACCUGCCUUAAUGAGGGGGAUAACAGUUGGAAACGACUGCUAAUACCGCAUAACGUAUACAGAAGGCAUCUAAAGUAUAUCAAAGGAGAAAUCCGCAUUAAGAUGGGCUCGCGUCUGAUUAGAUAGUUGGUGAGGUAACGGCUCACCAAGUCGACGAUCAGUAGCCGGACUGAGAAGUUGAACGGCCACAUUGGAACUGAGAUACGGUCCAGACUCCUACGGGAGGCAGCAGUGGGGAAUAUUGGGCAAUGGGCGAAAGCCUGACCCAGCGACGCCGCGUGAGGGAAGAAGGUCUUCGGAUUGUAAACCUUUGUUGACAGGGAAGAAGAAAGUGACGGUACCUGUAAAGAAAGCCACGGCUAACUACGUGCCAGCAGCCGCGGUAAUACGUAGGUGGCGAGCGUUAUCCGGAUUUACUGGGUGUAAAGGGUGUGUAGGCGGGAUAGCAAGUCAGAUGUGAAAUACCAGGGCUCAACCUUGGAACUGCAUUUGAAACUGCCAUUCUUGAGAGUGGGAGAGGUAAGCGGAAUUCCCGGUGUAGCGGUGAAAUGCGUAGAUAUUAGGAGGAACACCAGUGGCGAAGGCGGCUUUCUGGACGAUAACUGACGCUGAGGCGCGAAAGUGUGGGGAGCAAACAGGAUUAGAUACCCUGGUAGUCCACACCGUAAACGAUGGAUACUAAGUGUUGGAGGUAUCGAGCCCUUCAGUGCUGGAGUAAACACAAUAAGUAUCCCACCUGGGAAGUACGACCGCAAGGUUGAAACUCAAAGGAAUUGACGGGGGCCCGCACAAGCAGUGGAGUAUGUGGUUUAAUUCGAAGCAACGCGAAGAACCUUACCAGAACUUGACAUCCCUUGCAUAACCUUAACCGGGUAAAUCCUUCGGGACAGGGUGACAGGUGGUGCAUGGUUGUCGUCAGCUCGUGUCGUGAGAUGUUGGGUUAAGUCCCGCAACGAGCGCAACCCCUAUUGUUAGUUGCUACGCAAGAGCACUCUAGCGAGACUGCCGUUGACAAAACGGAGGAAGGCGGGGACGACGUCAAAUCAUCAUGCCCCUUAUGUCCUGGGCUACACACGUAAUACAAUGGCCGUCAACAGAGGGAAGCAAAGCCGCGAGGUGGAGCAAAUCCCUAAAAACGGUCUCAGUUCGGAUUGCAGGCUGCAACUCGCCUGCAUGAAGCUGGAAUUGCUAGUAAUCGCGGAUCAGCAUGCCGCGGUGAAUACGUUCCCGGGCCUUGCACACACCGCCCGUCA